rnacentral:rRNA from 1 species
AACGAACGCUGGCGGCAUGCCUAACACAUGCAAGUCGAACGAGACCUUCGGGUCUAGUGGCGCACGGGUGCGUAACGCGUGGGAACCUGCCCUUAGGUUCGGAAUAACUCCCCGAAAGGGGUGCUAAUACCGGAUAAUGUCUUCGGACCAAAGAUUUAUCGCCUUUGGAUGGGCCCGCGUUGGAUUAGCUAGUUGGUAGGGUAAAAGCCUACCAAGGCGACGAUCCAUAGCUGGUCUGAGAGGAUGAUCAGCCACACUGGGACUGAGACACGGCCCAGACUCCUACGGGAGGCAGCAGUGGGGAAUAUUGGACAAUGGGCGAAAGCCUGAUCCAGCCAUGCCGCGUUGGUGAUUAAGGCCUUAGGGUUGUAAAGCUCUUUUACCCGGGAUGAUAAUGACAGUACCGGGAGAAUAAGCUCCGGCUAACUCCGUG